AUUGAACGCUGGCGGCAUGCCUUACACAUGCAAGUCGAACGGCAGCACGGGAGCUUGCUCCUGGUGGCGAGUGGCGAACGGGUGAGUAAUACAUCGGAACGUACCCUGAAGUGGGGGAUAACGUAGCGAAAGUUACGCUAAUACCGCAUAUUCUGUGAGCAGGAAAGAGGGGGAUCGCAAGACCUCUUGCUUUAGGAGCGGCCGAUGUCGGAUUAGCUAGUUGGUGAGGUAACGGCUUACCAAGGCGACGAUCAGUAGCCGACCUGAGAGGGUGAUCGGCCACAUUGGAACUGAGACACGGUCCAAACUCCUACGGGAGGCAGCAGUGGGGAAUAUUGCACAAUGGGCGAAAGCCUGAUGCAGCAACGCCGCGUGAGCGAUGAAGGCCUUCGGUCGUAAAGCUCUGUCCUCAAGAAGAUAAAUGACGGUACUUGAGGAGGAAGACCCGGC
rnacentral:rRNA from 1 species